UACGGGGGGGGCAAGCGUUGUUCGGAAUUACUGGGCGUAAAGGGCUCGUAGGCGGCCAACUAAGUCAUACGUGAAAUCCCUCGGCUUAACCGGGGAACUGCGUCUGAUACUGGAUGGCUUGAGUUCGGGAGAGGGAUGCGGAAUUCCAGGUGUAGCGGUGAAAUGCGUAGAUAUGUGGAGGAACACCAGUGGCGAAGGCGACUCUCUGGGCUGUAACUGACGCUGAGGCGCGAAAGCGUGGGGAGCGAACAGG
rnacentral:rRNA from 1 species